GGGUAGGGCUUCACACGUCAUACAAUGGUCGGUACAGAGGGUUGCCAACCCGCGAGGGGGAGCUAAUCCCACAAAGCCGAUCGUAGUCCGGAUCGCAGUCUGCAACUCGACUGCGUGAAGUCGGAAUCGCUAGUAAUCGUGGAUCAGCAUGUCACGGUGAAUACGUUCCCGGGUCUU
rnacentral:rRNA from 1 species